rnacentral:rRNA from 1 species
UACGUAGGGUGCAAGCGUUGUCCGGAAUUAUUGGGCGUAAAGAGCUCGUAGGCGGUUCGUCGCGUCGGCUGUGAAAUCCCGAGGCUCAACCUCGGGUCUGCAGUCGAUACGGGCGGACUGGAGUUCGGCAGGGGAGACUGGAAUUCCUGGUGUAGCGGUGAAAUGCGCAGAUAUCAGGAGGAACACCGGUGGCGAAGGCGGGUCUCUGGGCCGAUACUGACGCUGAGGAGCGAAAGCGUGGGGAUCAAACAGG